AUCGCUCAACGGAUAAAAGGUACUCCGGGGAUAACAGGCUGAUACCGCCCAAGAGUUCAUAUCGACGGCGGUGUUUGGCACCUCGAUGUCGGCUCAUCACAUCCUGGGGCUGAAGUAGGUCCCAAGGGUAUGGCUGUUCGCCAUUUAAAGUGGUACGCGAGCUGGGUUUAGAACGUCGUGAGACAGUUCGGUCCCUAUCUGCCGUGGGCGCUGGCGAAUUGAGGGGGGCUGCUCCUAGUACGAGAGGACCGGAGUGGACGCAUCACUGGUGUUCGGGUUGUCAUGCCAAUGGCCCUGCCCGGCAGCU
rnacentral:rRNA from 1 species